rnacentral:lncRNA from 1 species
AUUACAAUAACAUCGCCUAUCGGGUACGAUGCGAGCAUCGUUGAUUAAUGUCUAUAUUUUAUUCUAACGCCGCAGCCAUGCAGUGUUCAAAAACGGUUAGGUGGUGUUUCGUUUUUAUAGCUGUUCUGUUUAUACUGACGUUUGUGAUUUGCUUAAAAUAUUCCGACCAUUUUGAAUUCACCAUUUAACCAGUUUUAUAAUUGUAUAAUGUGUCAAAAACAAGUGUACGAAUUCGAUGAAAAAUCUAUAACAUUCUCUGCUGAAUAUUUUUCUCGGCUGAUUGCUGAACCUAUUCAUAUAGUUUUAUUAUAGUGCAUAAUAUAUUAUAUUACAUUGAAUUGUCAUAUUAUAUUACGGUGUCGCACCGUGUCUGCGGUAUUCGAUCACCCGCCAUAUAAAUCACACGCAAACGAAUCGAUGAUGGAAAUUCCAUUUUUAGCGUAUCAUGUGCAUGAUCACGGAGAACGAAAAAACUGUGCUGUGCACUGUGCAGUCGAUGACAUAUUAUAAUAUGCACGCAUCGUCAUCGUGAUGGUCACCUGCCACCUGCAGCUGCGACGUAAUUGAAAAAACGAAGGAAUCUGCACUGUGUUUAUAAUAUAAUAUGUUAUUGACAUGACUAUAUAGUGAGUUGUGGUGACUUCUGACUCGAGCUGUAGAGCACUAUAAUAUAUCAGCUGUGAUAUAAACCAUGAACAAAGAUAUAACUAUUUUACUCAAGCCCGGAUUAAGACAUUUUGAGGCCCAGGGGCCAAAGUUUUAAAUGAGGCCCUUGUACGAAAAAAAAAUAUUAAUGUAUAUAAUGUGUUCCGGAGUGAAGUGACCAGCUGACGUCAUAUAAAA